rnacentral:rRNA from 1 species
GAGUUUGAUCUUGGCUCCAGAUUGAACGCUGGCGGCAUGCCUUACACAUGCAAGUCGAACGGCAGCACGGGAGCUUGCUCCUGGUGGCGAGUGGCGAACGGGUGAGUAAUGCAUCGGAACGUAUCCUGGAGUGGGGGAUAACGUAGCGAAAGUUACGCUAAUACCGCAUAUUCUGUCGAGCAGGAAAGCGGGGGACCUUCGGGCCUCGCGCUCUUGGAGCGGCCGAUGUCGGAUUAGCUAGUUGUGA